UUCCUAUUUUAGGUGUUAUAUGAUUUGCAUGAAGUUUUUGAUACAACUUUAGUUUUUCAACAUACUUGAAGAGACUAUAUUUUGACUUUGAACUCGUUGUUAUUCACGAUUGCUAACAUGAGUACUAAUACGACUCCUGUUGACCCUUCCAGUCCCUUAUUUGUUUACUCCUCUGAUGUUCCUGGUGUUUCUCUUGUGUCCACUCCCUUCUCGGGUAAUGGUUAUGGGGGUUGGAGAAGGAAAAUGAUUGUAGGGUUGUCUGCUAAAAAUAAAAUUGGCUUUGAUUCUGCUGUUCGAAACAGGCAUUUUUCGUUAAUCGAAGGCCGAUCUUCUCCGAUCGCAAAGAAGGAGGGUAAAUCUGUUCCUAUUUUAGGUGUUAUAUGAUUUGCAUGAAGUUUUUGAUACUGUUUGAACUAAAAAGAGAACUCUCUCAUACCUAUCAAGGAUCUCUAGAUGUAGCUUCAUAUUUUAACAAACUUAAAGAUCUAUGGGAUGAAUUAGGAACGAUGUGUGCAAAUCAUGGACAAAGAUGCAUUUGUCCUGCCAGAAAUGGCAUCAUACAGGAAGAUUCUAUGGAUGAAUUAGGAACAAUGUAUGCAAAUCAUGGACAAAGAUGCAUUUGUCCUACCAGAAAUGGCAUCAUACAGGAAGAUGAUGAGAAUAAGGUGUUUCAGUUCCUUAUGGGCCUUAAUGAAGCAUACUUGGGGGUAAGGAGUAACCUAUUGAUGAUGCAGCCUCCUCCUUCCCUUGACAGAAUCUACAAUAUGGUUCUCAAUGAUGAGAAGCAGAGACAAGUGCAGUCCCCUUCUCAGUUUAAUCAAGACUCUAUGUCUUUCAAUGCCCACACAAACAAGAAUCCAACUGGUUUCACUAAGGCCACAGUGCCUAAUUCUUCUCAUUUCAGACAAAGAGUUAACUUUAACCAAGCUAGGGAUUCUUUGUUCUGUAGAUACUGUAACACUUAAUUGAUAAGUGUUACAAGAUUCAUGGGUAUCCACAAAAUACAACAUUUAACAAGGGAAGGAGAUCUGCUGCUGCUCAUCUAACUGCUGGUGUGGAUUUCUCUUCUUCUGAAAGAAAUAUGUGUGUUCCCUAUGGAAAUCCUCCUAACAGUCAUCAACCUGUUCCACACACUGAUGGCCAAAGUUCUGUGAUACCUGGGUUGAGCAGACAACAUUAUGAACAAUUGAUGACCCUGCUCCAACAAACUCAGUUAGGGG
rnacentral:lncRNA from 1 species